GACGGAGGAUGCAAGUGUUAUCCGGAAUCACUGGGCGUAAAGCGUCUGUAGGUGGUUCGAAAAGUCCACUGUUAAAAAUUGAGGCUUAACCUCAAAGGUGCCGUGGAAACUUUCAAACUAGAGUAUGGUAGGGGUAGAGGGAAUUUCCAGUGGAGCGGUGAAAUGCGUAGAUAUUGGAAAGACCACCGAUGGCGAAGGCACUCUACUGGGCCAUUACUGACACUGAGAGACGAAAGCUAGGGGAGCAAAUGGG
rnacentral:rRNA from 1 species